rnacentral:rRNA from 1 species
AAGGCGACGAUCCCUAGCUGGUCUGAGAGGAUGACCAGCCACACUGGAACUGAGACACGGUCCAGACUCCUACGGGAGGCAGCAGUGGGGAAUUUUGGACAAUGGGCGCAAGCCUGAUCCAGCAAUGCCGCGUGCAGGAUGAAGGCCUUCGGGUUGUAAACUGCUUUUGUACGGAACGAAACGGCGAGCUCUAAUAAAGUUCGCUAAUGACGGUACCGUAAGAAUAAGCACCGGCUAACUACGUGCCAGCAGCCGCGGUAAUACGUAGGGUGCAAGCGUUAAUCGGAAUUACUGGGCGUAAAGCGUGCGCAGGCGGUGAUGUAAGACAGAUGUGAAAUCCCCGGGCUCAACCUGGGAACUGCAUCUGAUACUGGCAAGC